UAGACAGAAUGGAGAGAACAGCAGGAGGUAUUUGAAUGUUACCUAAAGGUUCAAGCUUUUCUGAGAUUACAACAUACCUCCUCCUACAAAAAAGUUCUCCUGGAGCUUCCAUGAAGAUACAGUCUGCACUGCCUGCAGACAUGGACACCAAGACUUUAAACAUGGGUGAUAUCCACAGAGGUCACUUGUGUCUUGCUGCUUUGCUGAUGGUUUGUGGGUCCCUGACCAUGUGCUGUCAGCAUCAGGGCAGAGUUGGAGAAACUGAUUUUUUUACCAAGGCUUUGACUGGAAGGGUAUGCUUCCCUUUAAGGAAUCAAGCUCAACUUGCAGAGCCAAUAAAAGCCUCUUGGGAAAACUGGCUUCAUACCUUGUCUACACAGUCCCCCUACAGUGCUUCUAAACUGUGUGAGCCUAUCCUCGAAGAGUCUAUGUAACACCAGAAGAGUGCGGUGCAAAGUAAAGAACAGAAUGGAAUGGGAGCAGCAGUACCACUGUAGAAAAACCCACUGAAAGAGCUGCUGACAGAAAUGAAUGAAAAUAUUCAGUUAUCCAAAAAGGACUUUGUCAAGGGCAGUGAUGUGGAGAGAGAAUAAUGAGGUACAAAACAAUGGAAAGGCUUGUCUUCAUCCAUUCAGGUUACUGUCACCAAAUACCAUAGGCUGGGUCACUUGUAAAUAACAGAAAUUAAUUUCUCACAGUUCUGAAGGCUGGGAAAUGUAAGAUCAAGGCACCAGCAGAUCUGGUGUUGGAGGCCCACUCUCUGGCUCUCUGAUUCAUAGAUUGUGUCUCCUAGCUUCCUCCUUUAUCCUUGCAUAAUCAAGGCAGCUUUCUGUGGACUCUUUUAAAAGGGCACAAAUUACACUAACAAGACCUAUACCUUCAUGACCUAACCAUUCCCCCAGACUAUCUCCUAAUACCAUCACCUUUGUAAUUAUGUUUCUACAUAAUAAUUUUUGGAGGAUAUAAAUAUUUGGACUAUAGCAGGGCUGGUGGAACACAGAAACGAACAAUAGAAACAAGAUGAGAGAAGAGAUUAGGGAUUAAGUAGAUGAUGUGCCUCUCUUAUCCUGGCCUUCUGGAUAUACCUCAGAAGAGUGAUAAGGAAACAAGUGUGGUUAAGACUAGAUUAUCUACAAAAAUAGUGAAUGAUUGCUGAAUCCAUUUACUUGGUAGUAUCACUCUAAAUAGAACACAUUUGUGCUCUGUGGCUGGUGUGGGCAUAAAUGAUAGUUUAAAAAGUUGAGAUUUAUAUGUUUGUUAUAUUACAAUGCCAUUUUCUAAUAUAUAGCAUUUUAUGUCAAAAACAAAAUCUUAGUAAAAUUAAUAUGUAGCUGUUACUGUUUGUAUUACAGUUUUUGUUCUCUUUAGGUAGUGCUUAUAUAUGCCAUAAUAUUUCAGAGAAGGAAAAUUAAUCCAUUUAAUUGUCCUGUUAUU
rnacentral:lncRNA from 13 species